rnacentral:rRNA from 1 species
GGGGAAUAUUGCGCAAUGGGGGAAACCCUGACGCAGCAACGCCGCGUGAAGGAAGAAGGUCUUCGGAUUGUAAACUUCUUUGAUGAGGGAAGAAAAAAAUGACGGUACCUCAAAAACAAGCCACGGCUAACUACGUGCCAGCAGCCGCGGUAAUACGUAGGUGGCGAGCGUUGUCCGGAAUUACUGGGUGUAAAGGGCGUGUAGGCGGGAUUGCAAGUCAGAUGUGAAAUUCCGGGGCUUAACCUCGGCGCUGCAUCUGAAACUGUGGUUCUUGAGUGCUGGAGAGGAUAGUGGUAUUCCUAGUGUAGCGGUGAAAUGCGUAGAUAUUAGGAGGAACACCAGUGGCGAAGGCGACUAUCUGGACAGUAACUGACGCUGAGGCGCGAAAGCGUGGGGAGCGAAC